CACAAGUGUGCACGGAGUAGUUGAUGAAUAUCAAACACAUGGCAGAGUUGUUCUUUAGGCACUGUUGAUCAGCACACAUGUGGAUUAAAAUGUCAAGAAGACAGGAGAAGGAGCGUGCUGGAAUAUUUUAUGGAUGUUAGAAACAAUUUUUUACUGAUGCUAGCAAGCAUGCAUUUGCACACUGCAGUCAGUGCACAACGGAGCCAAAGGUGCUGUUUUGUUUACAUGUAACAUUAGCUAGCCAUUUGUUUGAGUUGUGCCCCAUCUGACAGUGAAAUGUGGCUAGCUCUUACCGCAGCUUGGACUAUGGAGAAGCUAGAGAUGCAAAAGCCCAUUGCAUGCUUUGUCCUGACCAGGCAUCCGGCUCUUUGUCCUCUGUACCUGCGUCGCUUCCUCUUGCAAAUAACGGGGAUGUUUGCCCUGUCGGGGGUUUGGAGAAUGUCCUGUGCGUCUUGCUUGUUGAAGAAAAAAUCUUUGUUUAAUCCAAGUGCAAGUGUCUAUGUGGCGAUCCCCCUGCUUGUAGAGGCCAUGGUAUUCAGGGUUCGCAGUGGAGCUGGGCCAGGGCUUGGCCAGUGCCGUGGGAUGGGUAAAUAUUCAUCAUAUUUACCCUGUGGAAGACGUAUGGAGAAAUGUGAUCCCCAGUCUCGUCAGUUAUGCUCCCUGCUUUUCUCCCUAUCCAUCAGAGUGACUGCAGCCCUCCCCUCCGGGCAGCUCCAUGCAGUGGCGCUGACUCUGUCAUCUCACUCCAGAGCAAAGAAACAGAGAGGAUCCAGGCAGAAUUCACAGCUACUGACCCCACAGGGUGCCGUGAACUGGGCCCAUGUGAUAUGACUGCAUGCUCUUUUUCUAUUGAGAGAGUGCUGUCGGUUGCACAUUCCUGAUACCAAUAUAAACCAUAAGUUAAGCAAAAGUAACUUUCCAGGGCCUAUUCUUCAGUGAGAAAUAUGUACUUUUGUUAAGCUUUGUGCCUUAGGGACGCAUCGAAAUUCACAGAAUGGUUACCUGGAGGAAAAUGGUGGAAGGUCAUGGUUUUUCAAUUUUAGGCAAGGGGAGGCUUUAGUAUUUUUUAAACCUAGUUCAUGGGAGGGUCAUGUAAUUUGUAAUUGAUGAAAUGUAAAUAUUUCAAAGUGCUUAGCAAUUAGUUGCUUACUAGGCUACAUAUCAUCUGAUUCUCUGCUGGGCACGCAAUAUCAAGUGCACCUAUAUACUAUUUAGUGUGGUAUUAAUCAAAUGAUCCGUAGCCUAUAGACUAUAGGCUAUGAAGUGCAUGCUCAGAGAAGCACAGAGCAAAGUUAUAUUUCUAAGAUAGCUGAGGGAUGGUGUGAAUAAAGCUAGGCUGCAUUACACACUGCAAUGGAUAAUCAAAUGUUUUAUUUUUAGCCCUUGUUUCUCCCCAAUUUGUAGUUAGUCUUGUCCCAUCUCUGCAACUCAAGUACGGACUCUGGAGAGGCGAAGUCAGCUUGCAGGCGUCUCUAGAGCCCGAUGGGACAAGGAAAUCCAAGGCCGGCCAAACCCUCCGCUAACCCAAAUGACGCUGGGCCAAUUGUGCACCGCCUCAUGGGUCUCCCGGUCACGGCCGAUUGUGACACAGCCUGGGAUUGAACCCGGGGCUGUAGUGAUGCCUCAAGCACUGUGAUGCUGUGCCUUAGACCGCUGCGCCACUCGGAGGGCUGUGCAAUGGAUAUUCUAACCCUGAACCCCGGCCUGCUCUGCUCUUACUGAUCAAAACCUUUUUUGUGUGCUGCUUAACCAAUGGUUGUGCUUUGUAGGGCUACAGUGGCAUUUCAGGAGGAGAGUCAAGCGUUUCUAAUAAAAAAUGCACCAUCUUGCAAGCGGACUAGCUUAUAGACUAUGUUCUGUUCAGUUUGAAAAGGAGGGCACGAAGAUGAGGAGGACCGGAGAUCAACUUUGAUAGCUUGCUACUACUAUAAUAGAUUUUAUUAAAAACAAUAUGUUUAUUGUCCAUGUAUUUUAUUGACCUCACAAUAAGCCAGAUUUGAGUAACUUACAUUGUGGUGCUGAAACUUGAAGCAGUUGUCACAGCACAAUCAAUUGGAAAUUAACAGCUCAUGGUGCUGAAAGUAGGCAAAUUCGAGUAGGCAUAAUUCAUUUGAACCAUCUUCAUUUGAAUUAGACUUUACUAACAACAAGAGGGCUUUGUGUUGG
rnacentral:lncRNA from 1 species